rnacentral:rRNA from 1 species
AGAGUGAACGCUGGCGGUAGGCCUAACACAUGCAAGUCGAACGGCAGCACAGUAGGAGCUUGCUCUUACGGGUGGCGAGUGGCGGACGGGUGAGGAAUACAUCGGAAUCUACCUUUUGGUGGGGAUAACGUAGGGAAGCUUACGCUAAUACCGCAUACGCCCUUCGGGGGAAAGCCGGGACCAGCAAUGGCCUGGCGCUGAUAGAUGAGCCGAUGUCGGAUUAGCUAGUUGGUGAGGUAAUGGCUCACCAAGGCGACGAUCCGUAGCUGGUCUGGAGGAGAUGACUCGACGACCACUACGUA